GAGUUUGAUUCUGGCUCAGAUUGAACGCUGGCGGCGUGCUUAACACAUGCAAGUCGAACGUGAAAGGGGCUUCGGCCCCGAGUAAAGUGGCGCACGGGUGAGUAACGCGUGGACAAUCUGCCCUUAUGAGUGGGAUAACAGUUGGAAACGGCUGCUAAUACCGCAUACGCUCAGGAAUGACUUUUUGAGGAAAGGCGGCCUCUGCUUGCAAGCUGUCGCAUAAGGAUGAGUCCGCGUCCCAUUAGCUUGUUGGUGGGGUAACGGCCUACCAAGGCAACGAUGGGUAGCCGAUUUGAGAGGAUGAUCGGCCACACUGGAACUGAAACACGGUCCAGACUCCUACGGGAGGCAGCAGUGGGGAAUAUUGCGCAAUGGGCGAAAGCCUGACGCAGCGACGCCGCGUGAGGGAUGAAGGUUUUCGGAUCGUAAACCUCUGUCGGAAGGGAAGAAGGUGCACUCUGCCAAUCAGGGGUGUAGUGACGGACCUCAAAGGAG
rnacentral:rRNA from 1 species